GGGAAGGUUGCUUAGUGGUAGAGUGCUUGCCUUGCAUGCAUGAGACCCUGGGUUCAAUUCCUCAGCACCA
rfam:Dipodomys ordii contig_30045, whole genome shotgun sequence.